rnacentral:tRNA from 1 species
AUGCCAUUAGCUCCAAUUGGUAGAGCAACCGAAUAAAAUCGGUGUGUGUCGGUUCGAAUCCGGCAUGGUAUA